GAAAAUGUACCGACACAAAACCAGAAGAAAGGUAAGCGAGAAAAAAAAGACGAAAAAAAAAAAAACGAAAUCGCUCCCA
rnacentral:ribozyme from 1 species